GACGAACGCUGGCGGCGUGCUUAACACAUGCAAGUCGAACGGAAAGGCCCUGCUUUUGUGGGGUGCUCGCGUGGCGAACGGGUGUGUAACACGUGAGUAACCUGCCCUUGACUUUGGGAUAACUUCAGGCAACUGGGGAUACUACCGGCUAGGAGCUCCUGCUGCAUGGUGGGGGUUGGAACGUUUAGGCGGUUGUGGAUGGACUCGCGGCUUAUCAGCUUGUUGGUGGAGUAGUGGCUUACCAAGGCUUUGACGGAUAGCCGGCCCGGGAGGGUGACCGGCCACAUGGGUACUGAGAUACGGCCCAGACUCCAACGGGAGGCAGCAGGGGGGAAUAUGGCACAAUGGGCGGAAGCCUGAGGCAGCAACGCCGCGAGCGGGAUGACGGCCUUCGGGUGGUAAACCGCUUUCGCCUGUGACGAAGCGGGAGUGACGGUAAUGGGUAAAGAAGCACCGGCUAACUACGUG
rnacentral:rRNA from 1 species